rnacentral:rRNA from 1 species
AUUGAACGCUGGCGGCAGGCCUAACACAUGCAAGUCGAACGGAGUGGCGGACGGGUGAGUAAUAUAUCGGAACGUGCCCAGUAGAGGGGGAUAACUACUCGAAAGAGUGGCUAAUACCGCAUACUAUCGGAGCGGCCGAUAUCGGAUUAGCUAGUUGGUGGGGUAAAGGCUCACCAAGGCAACGAUCCCUAGCUGGUUUGAGAGGAUGACCAGCCACACUGGGACUGAGACACGGCCCAGACUCCUACGGGAGGCAGCAGUGGGGAAUAUUGGACAAUGGGGGAAACCCUGAUCCAGCCAUCCCGCGUGUAUGAUGAAGGCCUUCGGGUUGUAAAGUACUUUUGGCAGAGAAGCGGUAUCUGCAGAAUAAGCACCGGCUAACUACGUGCCAGCAGCCGCGGUAAUAC